GACUGAGCAGCUCCUGCUCGUGGUCUAGCCAGCUUCACCCAGAGUCCUGCAGAGGAAACGCUGCCAGCCUCUGUCGGCUCACUGGCAAUGCACAGGGCCUCUGUGGGUUCUUGUCCACUAUGAGCAGCACACUUCACUCAGUAACUCAGUUCAUAUGCUCAGUAUGCACUUUGGCUGUGUGUGCUGCAUGCUGGUGUUUUCUGUUUUGUUCUAGUGUUAUUUUUUUAAAUACUAGACAUGAACCUCUAAGUUAAUUUCUCAAUUUAGAACUGGAUAGUAAACUUGAGUUUGAAAAACAACUUUGGAGUCUACUUUGAAAGAAGAACUAAUGUAAAGACUUUUUUGUUUUUUUGUUUUGGUCUUUGGCUUUUGAAUAUUGUUAAGGCAAAAUUCAAUAUUACAAAUACCAAAAGUACUGUAUAUGUAAAUUACUUGUCACACUUCAAGAAAUGUAAUUAAAAUCAGAAAUGGUGAAGACUCGUGAAUAUGAUGGGUGAGAUUUCAGAACUGGAUGAUCUAUUCAUGUCUUAUAGGGGGUCACUCAGGCCACAUACCACCAGCCUGUGAAGAGAAGCUUCAACCUCCAAUUUAGGUGAUUGAAUUAGGAAAAAGUCCUUUUUCCAGACAACAGGAAAAUCCGAUUAGAAAACCAGACAGCAGUCACUGACUGUUGGGUGUGCCUUGGUGUCGCAUCCGUGCUUGUCAGGGUCCUGAGGAAGUGGGGCCUGCAAGGGUCAUGUGACAAUCUGGGCAUCCGGUGCUGUGAGUGGCUGCAGAGGACUCCUGUGCCAGAGGUGCAGCUGCCGUGCUGCCCCGCGUGUGUACCUGGACUCACAUACAGAUGUGACUUCCUUCAGCCCCACGACAAUGCUGGAAGCAGGCCCUGUCCUUCCACUUUGUAGCCAAGGAAACUUCACCCAGGAGUCCCUCUAUGGACAGACAGCAGAGCCCUGUCAUCUUGGGUUCCUUCAAGAACCGAAGCAAGGUUUCCGGGUCUCCUGUCCUGUGCUCUGGGGAGGCUGUGACAGGAACCUCAAGCUGCUGCUGCUUGCUGGUUGAGAACAGCGUGGACUUGGCAGACUCCCAUGACCGCCAUGCUAGAGGGGGCCCUGCAGUGGCAGCUCCUCCCUGGAAUCAGCUUUCUCAGCACAGCCGAGUCUGUCCCACGGUUUAGUGAGGAUGGCACCUGGGGCUGUGGUCCAGGUUGGAAAACAGUAACCACAGUGAUCUGUGUCACACUUGCCAAGAGAGGAAACCCUCGGCUCUCCUGCUUGGUGGAGGGUGGGCGGGGCUUGUGUCUGUGUAAAGUUGUGUAACCUCCGCACCAGGACCCUGGCUGCCCUGCUGCAGUGGACUGGUGUGUCAUACCCACCAGGUACACCUGGGCACAUGGUUUGUGUUAGCUGUUACUUUUGGUCAUUUAUUUAAAUAUUCUAUAUUGACUUGACUUUUAAGUUAAAUGUCCAGUUUGUUGUAGCAGAUCGUCUAUAGCAUAAAUAUAAAUUUAAAAAUUUUUAACAGUGUAUAAUAGCUGAAGCUGAUUGUUUCCUUAGAAGUUAUAUGGUCUUCAUCUAGUUCAUGUGAGACUUCAAAAUGCCCUCCGUUAUCCUUAUGGACACUUUCAUUUGUGUAAUUUCCAAAAAAAAAAAAAAAAAUUCAGUUUCUUCAACUCCAAAGAGGAUUUUGGAUUGAUGUUGGGUAGGUUAAAAGACUGCCAUGGGCAGGAAAUCAGUUUUGAGUCUCAGUUCUGUAUCUUCAUCAUGUCUCACCUGGCCAAGCUUCAAGUCUCAUGUGUCAGACAUUAAUCAUAGUUUUCUUGUGUGGCUUUGUCCUGGAAAUGUCAACCAUGUCCAACUCUGCAGAAGGCACAAUACUGGAUCACAAACACGUUUCCCCUGAUUAAUUUCAUUCCAUCUUAAACUCCAGUGUUUGUGUGGGGCCAUGGUGAUUCGGCGUGGUUGCCCAGGAUUGCCUCACCUGUGACUUCCUGUGUUCCUGGAUCCUUCCAUUCCAGGAGAGGCGGGCUUGUCCUGUGCUGCAUGGCUGUGUGGCUGCGUGGCUGUGUGUGAUAACCUCCUGAUGACCGACCCACCUUGCUGCACACAUCUGGGUUGCUGAUACCUCCCCAGAAUGACUUUCUGGAAGCAGAAGUCCUGGAUCAGAGAGCGUGGCAG
rnacentral:lncRNA from 1 species